UUUUUACAACCGCACCUGCAGCAGUUGAAAAUUCCCAGGCUAGGGGUUGAAUCAGAGCUGCAGCUCCAGGCCUAAGCCACAGCCACAGCAACGUGGGAUCUGAGCCACACCUGCAACCUAUGCCACAGCUUGUGAUAAUGCUGGAUCCUUAACCCACUGAGGGAGGCUAAGGAUCGAACCCACCUCCUCACAGAGACUAGUUCUUAACCCACUGAGCCACAAUGGGAACUCCCUCAGCCUGUUUCUAAUGCGUCUUUUCAUGGCUUGACAGCGCAUUUCUUCGUAUCACUGAUCAAUAUGCCAUGGAAUGGAUGUAUCAGAGUUUAUCCAUUCAUCUAUUGAUGGACUUUUUUUUUUUUUUAAGGGCCGCACCCAUGACACUUGGGGGGUCUCAGGCUAGGGGUCAUUCCUACACCACGGCAACGCUGGAUCCCAGCCAAGUCUGAGCCAUAAUGGGAACUCCCAUGUCCCACCUUUUUGAACAGAAAUGUCUGUAAUGGUGGGCCUUUGUCCUACCAUUGUAUUUUGGGUAUUCAGGGGAUGGUCACUGAUCCGUUUAGUUCAUAGGCAUUCAGGAGCUGUACUUAAGGAAUUACAUCCAAAGAACCACAUCUGUGGAGUUCCCAUGGUGGCUCAGGGGGGUUAAGGACCUGACAUUGUCUCUGUGAGGAGGUGGGUUCCAUCCCUGGCGGAACUCAGCGGGUUAAGGAUCCUGCAUUGCCCCAAGCUCUGGUGUAGGUCCUAGAGGCUGCUUUGGUCGAUGCUGCCUCAGCUGUAGCGCAGACCGCAGCUGCAGCUCCUAUUCGACCCCCAGCCCCCGAAGGUCCAAAUGCCACAGGUGUGACUGUGAACAGACAAAAAAAGAGCCUCAGCAGCACCUGGGCUUAAUUUAUUAGACGGUAUAUUAGUUUGCUAGGCCUGCCCUGACAAAGUACCACAGACCGGGUGGUUUAAACAACAAAAACGGAUUUUCUCACCAUUCUGGAGUCUUGAAGUCCAAGAUCAAAGUGCACACAGGUUUGGUUUCUUCUGAGAUCUUUCCACUUGCUUUGCAGAUGGUCGCCUUCUCCGUGUGUCCUCAUACGGUCUUUCUUCUGCGCUCACAGCCCCCUGGUGUCUGUUUUCCCUUUUUUCUUUCUUUUUUUUUUUGCUUUUUUAGGACAGCACCCACGGCAUAUGGAGGUUCCCAGGCUAGGGGUUGAAUCGGAGCUACAGCCACCAGCCUAUGCCAGAGCCACAGCAACACCAGAUCCGAGCCUCGCCUUUGACCUACACCACAGCUCACGGCAAUGCCGGAUCCUUAACACACGGAGCAAGGCCAGGGAUCGAACCUGCCUCCCCACGGAUGCUAGCCAAUUCCUUUCUGCUGAGCCACGACGGAAACUCCAUGGUGUCUCUAUUUCUAAUCUCCUCUUCUAGAAGGAUACCAGUCAGAUGCCAGGAGGGCCCACUCUAAUAGCCUCCUGUUAACCUAAUCACCCCCUGAAGACCCCAUCCUCAGGUACAGUCACAUUCUGAUGUACUGGGGAUUAGGGCUUUCACUUAGGAAUUUGGGGGGGCUGGCGUUCCCAUGGGAUCGAAUCCACAACCUCAUAGUUCCUAGUUGGAUUUGCUAACCACUGAGCCACGACAGAAACCCCCUGUGUUGUAAAAUUUUGAAACCUCAUACUUUCCUGAUGCUUCACCAGGUGACAAGGCUGGUUCCUGCCACAAGUUCCCCUCUAGACCUAGUGACACUCAAAUGCACCAAGGAAAUCCCCUCACACCUUUUGCUUGUGGACUCCACCUUGACCCCACUAGAGACAUUUGCCCAUGGGUCCUCACUCUCUCUCAGCUCUCCACUUGCUUGGUUGAGCCUGCCCCCUGGGUACCCCUCCCGUGUGGCCCCUGCCUGUGGCAGGCCAUGUCCCCUUCUUCUAGGACAGCUGAUUUCUUAGGCCUCUCCGAGUGUCAAUGCCACAGCCAUGCUGGAACCAUUCUUAAAGACCCCCCCAAGGGGGACUUAACUCCUCCAUUAACAACACAGCAAGAUGCUGAGCAUUCAGCUCAUUGAUGCUGUCAUGGGCUGAGACUUUAGGGGGCCUUGGGAUAGGCGAGCAUAGUAUACAUGUGCGAGGAAUGUAAAUAAUUUGUGACCCAAAAGCAGACUGUGGUGGUUUUAAAAUAUAUUCACAACUACUGGAUACUCUUCCCCUCAAUUCAUGAAGCUUAACUCCCCUCACCUUGAGUAUGGGGGGAACCGGUGACUUACUUCCAACAAACAGAAUAUGCUGGAAGUCACAGUCUAUUUCUUUCAAGAUGAGGGCAUAAAAGGCACUGGAGCUUCCACAUUGUUGGUCCCUUAAAUGGCUCACUCUGGGGGGGCAGUAAGCCCUGAAGCAGCCCAUGAAGAGGCCACAUGGCAAGAAACUGAGGCUUCCUGCCAACAGCCCUACCAGUGAACCAUACUGGAAAUAGAUGCUCCAUCCCCAGUCAAGCCUUCAGAUGAUUUCAAAAAACUUCAAAUGGGAGUUCCUGUUAUGGUGCAGUGGAAGCGAAUUUGACUAGGAACGAUGAGGUUGCAAGUUUGACUCCUGGCCUCGCUCAGUGGGUUAAGGAUCCAGCGUUGCUGUGAGCUGUGGUGUAAGUUGCAGACUCGACUUGGUUCUGGCGUUGCUGUGCAUGUGACGUAGGCCAGCAGUUGUAGCUCUGAUUCCAUCCCUAGCCUGGGAACCUCCAUAGGCUGCAGGUGCAUCCCUAAAAAGACAAAAAAUAAAAAUAAAAA
rnacentral:lncRNA from 1 species